rnacentral:rRNA from 1 species
UUUUCGUAGGUGAACCUGCGGAAGGAUCAUUGUCGAUGCCUAAAACAUCAAACUACUCACGAACGCGUUUCACAAAACAUCCGCGCCAGAGGGGGGAUUGGAGCGUUCUUGCCUCGCCCCCCUCCCGGUAUGAACCUCAACCAAACCCCGGUGCAGGUCGUGCCAAGGAACUCCAACGAAUGAGCCCGCCCCCACCCCGGUCUCAGGGCGUGGGGGCCGAGCAUUCUUGUCGUAUGUAUUACUCACAACAACUCUCGGCAACAGAUAUCUCGGCUCUCGCAUCGAUGAAGAACGUAAUGAAAUGCGAUACUUGGUGUGAAUUGCACGAUCCUGCGAACCACUGAGUCUUUGAAUGCAAGUUGCGCCCAGAGACAUUUGGCAGAGGGCACGUCUGCCUGGGUGUCACACAUCGUUGCCCCCCCACGCAACCCCCACACCAUGUGUGCGUCAGUUCGUUGCCGCGGUCGGGGGCACACGUUGGCGUCUCGUGCGCACCGUCGCGUGGAAGGUAUAAAUUCGAGUCCUCGGGGCAUGUUGCCGCGACGCUACGGCGGUUGAUCCAACCUCAGUACCGCUUCCCGGCCACAGCUCCCGUACCUCCUCCGAGAGAGCGAGCGAGCGAGGGAAACAACGAGGCCUCUCAGAUCGACCCUGCAAACGUCGUCCCCCAAAAAGACGGUGCUCACGACGCGAGCCCAGGUCACGCAGGUCUACCCGCUGAGUUUAA